CAGUCGCCGCGGGAAUACGAAGGGGGCUAGCGUUGUUCGGAAUCACUGGGCGUAAAGCGCACGUAGGCGGACUUUUAAGUCAGGGGUGAAAUCCCAAGGCUCAACCUUGGAACUGCCUUUGAUACUGGAAGUCUUGAGUUCGGGAGAGGUGAGUGGAACUGCGAGUGUAGAGAUGAAAUUCGUAGAUAUUCGCAAGAACACCAGUGGCGAAGGCGGCUCACUGGCCCGAUACUGACGCUGAGGUGCGAAAGCGUGGGGAGCAAACAGGAUUAGAUACCCGCGUAGUCCCUGUCUCUUAUAC
rnacentral:rRNA from 1 species